UCGCCGCGCCGGCUCCGCUGCGCCCGGGGCCUGCCGGCCUCCGCGGGGUCUUCGCGGCCGCUCGGGCCUCCCGCCCUUGCCUCCGCGGUGGGAGUGGGUGCCGUUUCCUGGGCGGACGGCGGUGGGCAGGUCCCCCCACCUCCCCCCUGAACACACACCUCACCCCUCCUCCGCCCCGGCUGCACCGUCCCCGGCGGGGGCCGCAGGUGCCCGGGCCCCGCGCUCCGCCGGCCGCGGUCGAGGGGCCGGGGGUCGCUCUCGGGGGAGAAGAGUCAGGCAAAGAGGCGGUGGGGCGGGGGUCUGUUCAUCAUCUCUCGCGGCCGCCCCUCGGAACCUGUCAUGUCCAGCCUGGAGGAGCAACUUCAGGUUUUGGAUUCCUUUGAGAUUCUGGCAUACACACUGGACAUCUGUUUAGACAACAUAGUUAAACAAAAUUUUGUGUAUAAUUUUGUUGUCAACCUCCCCAACCUAGUCAAGUUCAUCCCAUGGACUACUACAGUAAGAAAGUUUUAAGGAAGAGCAGACGGAUCUGUGAAAUGCUGAAUGAACAUGUCUUUCUUAAAGUUUUGUAUAUUUUUAAUAAAUACUUCUUCAUGGUUACUGUUUAUAUUUGGGGUGUAUAUGCAGUAGUGAAAAACCAGAAAUCUUCCCCUGCCUUCUUGGAUUAUACUUGUGCUAAAGUAAAAAUGGAAAAGAACUGUGUACAGUUAAUAGAGUAUCAUGGGAGACUGGGGGGAUCUACUUAGGUGUAAGGGAAGGCCUCACUGAAGAGACACAGACAUAAAGUAAAGGAGAGAGAAUGAGAUGUUUCACAUAGAGGGAACAGCAUGCAAAGGGCCUGAUGCUGUGAAGGGCUUAAUGUGUUUGAGAAAAUGAAAAGUUGGAGUAAUAUGAACAAGAGCGGAGAAUGGCUACAGGUCUUGUACACAGUGAUAAGGAGUUUGGAUUACAAAAUACUAAAGGAGCCAAUAUCCCUGAUGAACAUAGAUGCUAAAAUCCUUAACAAAAUAUUAGCAAAUUGAAUCCAGCAAUAUAUUAAAAAGAUCAUACACCAUGACCAAUUGGGAUUUAUUCCAGGGAUGCAAGGCUGGUACAGUAUUCAUAAAUCAAUAAAUGUGAUAUGUCACAAACAAAUUGAAAGACAGAAAUCACAUGAUAUAUCAAUAGAUGCAGGAAAAGCAUUUGACAAAACCUAACACCCAUUUUUGAUAAAAACUCAGCGAAGUGGGAAUAGAGGGAGCACACCUCGACAUAAUAAAGGCCAUAUAUGACAAAGCUAUAGCCAACAUCAUACUCAAUGGGCAAAAACUAAAAUCAUUUUCCCUAAGAACAGGAACAAGACAGGGAUGUCCACUUUCACCACUGUUAUUCAACAUAGUACUAGAAUUCCUAGCCACAGUGAUCAGACAAGAAGAAAACAUAAAAGCAUCCAAAUUGGAAAGGAGGAUGUAAAACUCUCAUUAUUCGCAGAUGAUGGGAUAUUGUACAUAGAAAAUCCUAAAGGCGCCACCAAAAAACUACUAUAUUUAAUAAAUGAAUUCAGCAAUGUAGCAGGACACAAAAUUAACACCCAGAAGUCGAUAGCAUUUUUGUACACAAGAAUGAAUUCUUAGAAAGUGAAACUAAACAAACAAUCCCAUUUAUCACUGCAACAAAAAAAUUAAGAUACUUAGGAAUAAACUUAACCAAGGAGGUAAAAGACUUGUACUCUGCCGGGAGCCGGACAUUGAAAAAAGAGCUAGAGGAAGAUAUAAACAAGUGGAAGAAUAUACCAUGUGUAUGGAUUGGUAGAAUUAACAUCAUUAAAAUGUCCAUACUACCCAAAGCAAUCUACAGAUUCAAUGCAAUCCCUAUUAAAAUACCAAUGGCAUAUUUCACAGAUCUAGAACAAAUACUCCAAACAUUUAUAUGGAAACAAAGACCCUGAAUAGCCUCAGCAAUAUUGAGAAAGAAGAACAAAGUUGGAGGAAUCACAAUACCAGACGUCAAGUUUUACUACAAAGUCACUGUAAUCAAAACUGCCUGGUACUUGCAUAAGAACAGACAUAUAGACCAAUGGAACAAAACAGAGAACCCAGAAAUUGACCCAAGCCAUUAUGUUCAAUUAAUAUUUGACAAAGGAGGCAAGAACACACAAUGGAGUCCAAAAGUCUCUUCAAUAAAUGGUGUUGGGAAAAUUGGACAGAUACAUGCAAAAAAAUUAAACUAGACCACGAACUUAUACCAUACACAAGAAUAAACUCAAAAUGGAUAAAAGACUUAAAUGCAAGACGGGAAACCAUAAAAAUCCUAGAAGAAACCAUAGGCAGCAAAAUCUCAGACAUCUUGGGGGGGGGGGGGCGGUGGUCAGUCGGGGAAAAAGGAGACAUAUGUAAUACUUUAAACAAUAAAAUAAAAAAGAAAGAAAAACAAAGUCUCAGACGUCUCUCGUAGCAAUAUGUUUACGAUACAUCUCCUAGGGCAAAGAAAACAGGAGAAAGUAAACAAAUGGGACUACAUCAAAAUAAAAAGCUGCACAACAAAAGAAACCAUCAACAAAACAAAAAGGGAGCCCACUGUAUGGGAGAACAUGUUUGGCAAUGAUACAUCUGAUAAAGGGUUAAUGUGCAAAAUAUAUAAGGAACUCAUACAACUUAACAAAAGGAAGACAAACAGUCCAAUUAAAAAAUGGGCAAAGGACCUAAAUAAACACUUCUCCAAAGUGGACAUACAGACGGCCAAGAGACAUAUGAAAAAAUGCUCAAAGUCACUGAUCAUCAGAGAGAUGCAAAUUAAAACGACAAGGAGGUAUUACACCUGAUAGAAUGGCCACCAUCUACAAAUGACACAAGUGCUGGUGAGAAUGUGGAGAAAAGGGAACCCUAGUACACUGCUGGUAGGAAUGCAGACUGAUGCAGCCAUUAUGGAAAACAGUAUGAAGUUUCCUCAAAAAAUUAGAUAUGAAACUGCCAUUUGACCUAGUAUUCCAUUUAUACCACGGAAUACUAUGCAACAGUAAAAAGGCUUUCUUACCUUUUGAGACAGCAUGGAAGGACCUAGAGAGUAUUAUGCUAAGCAAACAAAGCCAGCCAGAGAAAGACAAGUAUAACAUGAUCUCACUCAUAUGUGGAAUCUAAUGAACAAAAUAAAUCCAAAGACAUAGAAGCAUGGAACAGACUGUUGAAUCUCAGAGGGAAGGUGGUGGGGGGAGUGUGGGUGGAAGGGUGGUUGGGAAGAGAUAAAGGAACUUGUAUGCAUAUAUGCAUAACCCAUGGACACAGACAAUAGGGUGGUGAAGGCCUGGGAUGGGGGAUAGGGAUGGGCUAGAAAAGAGUCAAGAGGAGAAAAAGGGAACAUAUGUAAUACUUUGAACAAUAAAGAUUUUUAAAAAAUAUUAAAAGAUUUUCAGCAGGUAGCAUCAUAUGAAUUACAUUUUUAAAAAAUUACCCUCCUGUAUAGAGAAGAAAAUACUGGGACAAGCAGAAAUAGAUUGACUAGUGGAUAUGCAGUAAUUUAGGUAGGGGACAAUGACUUACAUUAGUGGAAUGGAGAGGAGUGGACAUAUUUGAGAUAUUUUUAGGUGGUAGAAAUAGGAGGUCAUGAUAAUGGAUUGGAUGUGAAACUUAAGGAAGAGGGAAGAACUCAGGGGUAUUGCUGGAUGUUGUCAUUAUUGGAUUGCUGGGGAAAGAAUUUUUUUUGUUGUUUUAGUUUUUUGCUUGUUUUAUUUUGGAGGAGGGAUAAUGUGAAUUUAGGAGUUUCCUUUAGUCAGUCUUGAGUUCUCAGAAGCCUCUGAGAUUGUCAAGUAGGCCUCUAUCAGAGAGAACCAGUUAUCUUAAGGAACUCAGAUAUUUGGCUUGGAGAUAUCAAUUUGAAGAUUAUCAGUGUAUUAGUGAUAUUUAAAGCCAUGAGAAUAGGUGAAAUCUCUGAGGAAGAGACUGUGGGAGUAUAGGUUUGGCUAGAAAUAGAAUGCUGAGGAUCUCUGUACAUUUUAAGGUUGUGUAAACUGGAAGGUCACUAGGAAGGAGGCGUAAGAAGGACAGCCAGAGUGAUUGUAGGGAAAUUGGAAUGUAUAUUGGAUCAUGUCAUGGAUGCCAAGUAAUGCAAGUUUUCAAGGAAAGGAUAGUUAACUGUAUUGAGUUUGACUUGGAGGUUGAGAAGAUGUGGGCCAUUGGCUUUGACAACCUAGAGGUCAUCAGUAACUGAGAUGAGCCAGUUUCAUGGCUUUGUAGAGAUGGAAGCCAGAUUUAAGUGACUUGAGGGGUUACAUGAUACCUCAGGCCUAGAAAUUUGGUGUAUAGAUAGCUUUAUAAAGAAGUUUGCCUAUGAAAGGAAACAGAUACGGGGUAGAAGAUAGAGGUGUAUGAGGAUAUAAGGGAAGUCUUUGUUGAGUGUAAGAAAUACUGCAGCAUGAUUUUAGUUGUUAGGAUUAAUAAAAGAAGGAAGGAAGAUGAGAGAAGUCCUUGAGAAAACAAAGUUCAGGAUCCUGACUGCAUAGAGCAGUGGUUUUCAACCUUCCUAAUGCUGCGACACUUUAAUACAGUUCCUCAUGUUGUGGUGACCCCCAACCAUAAAAUUAUUUUCGUUGCUACUUCAUAACUGUAAUUUUGCUACUAUAAACAAUAUGUAAUUAUAUAUCUGUUUUCCGAUGGUCUUAGGCGACCCCUGUGAAAGGGUCUUUCAACCCACAAAGGGGUCACGACCCACAGGUUGAGAACUGCUGGCAUAGAGGGUCAGUUCUUUGAUAGGAAAUGGAUCAUCCUCAAUUUUAAAAGGAAAGAAGUAAAAACAUAAAUACAGAGAGAAGUAGGUAUAUAGAUUUAAUGGAGGGAAAUUAGAAUAUUCUAGCCUAAUGGCUUUUACUUUUUCUACAAACUGAGGUGAGUUUAACAAUUCUGUAGUGAGAAAUUAUCUGAAUAUGAAAGUAAGAAAACUAUUCACCGUGUCAUCAAAAUAAAUAAAAUAUUUAGGAAGAAAUUUAACAAAAGCACCAAGAUGUUUUUACUACAGAGACAUUGCUGAAAGGAAUUAAAGAAGAUUUAAAUAAAUGGAGAGACAGUCUGUGUUCAUAGUUUGGAAGAUUGAAUGUUGUUAAAGUGAUGGUUCUCCCCAAAUUGAUCUACAGAGUCAGCAAAAUUCUUAUCAAAAUCCCAGAAGACUUUUGAAGAAAUUGUCAAGCUGAUUCUAAAAUUUAUAAGGAGAUGCAAAGGACCUAGAAUAUCCAAAACAGUUUUGAAAACGAACAAAAUAAGAGACUUACCCUAGCUAAUUUUAAAAUUUAACUAAUCUCAAUAAUCAAGAAUGUGUGAUUGGCAAAAGGAUGAGCAUGUAGAUUAGUGGAACAGGAUUGAGAAUCCGGAAAUAAUUCUUACAUUUAUGAUCAUUUGGUUUUUGAAAAAAGUGCCAGGACAGUUCAUUUGGGAAAGAAUAGUCUUUAAACAAAUGGUGCUGGGAGAAUUGGAUAUCUGUAUGUUUAAAAAAUGGCGUUAGGCAUAUUUUUGUGCUAUAUACUUAAGACAGCACACAAAAAUUAUCUCAAAAUAUAUCACAUACUUAAUUGUAAAACCUAAAACUAUAAAAAUUCUAGAUAACAUAGAAGAAAAUCUUUGUAACCUGUGUUAGGCAGAAUUCUUAGAUGUGACACCAAAAGCAUGAAUCAUAAAAGAAAAACUGGUAAGUUGGACUUCGUUAGCAUUUUUUAAACUUUUACAGUUUAAAGGAUACUUAAUAUAAAAAGUUAAGCCACAGAAUAGCAGAAAAUAUUAGCAUGUUAAAAACAUGAUAAAGUUCUUUAAUCUCGAAUACAUAAAGAAAUCUUGCAACUCAAUUAUAAAGAAAAAUUGUAUUAAAAAUGGGGAAAAGACUUUAAUAGAUAUUUCACCAAAGAAGAUAAUAUGAAUGGCCAAACCACAUAUGAAAAGAUACUCAGUAUUCAUCAUUAGGGAAAUGCAAAUUAAACUACAGUGAUAUGCUCUUACACACUCGAGUAGCUAUAAUUAAAAAGAAUAACAUGACAUAGUAUUGGUAUUGUGGAGGAACUGGAAUCUUUAUACACUGCUCUUGGAAAAUGAUUUGGCUGUUUUUUAAAAAGUUAAACAUAUUAUAUGAACCAGCAAUUCCAUUCUUAGGAAUCUACCCAAGAGAAAUGAAAACGUGCACACAAAAAAAGUGUAAAUGUCUGUUUAACAGCAUUAUUCACAAUAGUCAGAAAUUGAAAAGCAAUAAAAAUGUCCAUCAUAUGAUGAAUGGAUAAACAAUAUGAUAUAUCCAUGCAAUGAAAUUCUGUUCUGUAGUAAAAAGGAACAAAUCACUGAUAAAUGCUACAACAAAGGUAAAUGCAAACACGUAAGUGGCAAAAGCUAGACACAAAGGAGUACAUAUUGUGUUUGCUCUCAUGAUGAGUUUCUUUUCUAUAUUGAGAUAUUUGCAAUCUAUUUUUUAUAGUGUUUUUUUUUGUCUUCAUAAUUUUUAUCCCAGGUAUAAUAUUUAUCUAAUCUAAGUCAUCAAGAAACAUCUUUAUAAGCUUAUAUUAUCUGCCCUGGCCCAUGCGGCUUAGUUCAGCGGUUGCCAACCUGUGGUCCACGGACCACUGGUGGUCCGUGACAUUUGAAAGGUUGAUGACCGCUGGUUUAGUUGGUUGAGCAUUGUCCCAUGGACCAAGAGGUCCCAGGUUCCAGUCCAGGUCAGGGCACACACCAGGGUUAUGGGCUUGAUCCCCAGUAGGGAGCGUGCAGGAGGCAGCUGAUCUAUGUUUCUCUUCCUCUCCUUUCUCUCACUAAAAUUAAUAAAAAUAUUUUUAAAAAAGAUUGUGUUGUCUUUUAUGGAAUUAGAAAGGUACUUGAAAUAAUAAUUUAAAAACUAUAAAAUACCAUUCAUGUUUUGUUUUGUUUUCAUUUGAUAUCCUAUUUAUUUGAACUUUUCCCUGAUCUUCUCAAUCAGAUAACCCUCCUGUAACCUUCCCACAUUGUUCUAUAUGUUUUCACUUAUAUACAUCUUAUACUUUUAGCCUCCUGUUCAGGUGUCUAUGUUUUUCUUAAAAUGUGGCAAGCAACUUGAAGUGUUAGUUUAUCCUUGUUUGUUUCGCUCAUAUCAUUCUGUUCAUGAUAGGCACCCAAAACACAUUGGACUGGUUAAUUUAGCACUUCAGGGCUUCAUUUCUCAUCAGUACAUUGGUGAGUGCUAGCCUCACCUCUCACUUUGUCAUAAUACUUUAAAAAUUCCAAACACCAAUUAUGAACCUUUUUAAACAAUAUGGAACCUCUGAGACCAGAUUGUAUAGAUC